rnacentral:rRNA from 1 species
GACAGAGGUGCCAAGCGUUAGGCGGAAUCACUGGGCUUAAAGCGUGUGUAGGCGGAUCGUUAAGUACCUUGUGAAAUCCCACGGCUUAACCGUGGAACGGCUGGGUAUACUGGCGAUCUUGAGCCACCUAGGGGCGAGCGGAACAAAUGGUGGUGCGGUGAAAUGCGUAGAUAUCAUUUGGAACGCCAACGGUGAAAACAGCUCGCUGGGGGUGUGCUGACGCUGAGACACGAAAGCCAGGGGAGCGAACGGG